CGUUCGUGGGGUCGACAGAUGCGAGAUUAUAGUAUGUAUUUCCGGUUUUGGCAUUUGUCAUCGUUUAACACAAAACUCUCAUGCACACUUGUACAUACAUAUACUCGAAAGAGAAAAGGAAAUUUAGUAUUAGUGCGCAAAUGUGGAGAUGUACCGGAAGUGAGAAAUAUUAUUUGUUUCGCGCCAAAAAUAUUUCAUCCAGGAAUUGAUUUCAUCGAUGUUGUAUCGGUUCUGUUGAAGAAUUCUAUUUUCUACGAGUAGCUACGAGUAGCAUGGUUUAAUACAAAUAUGCACAUACAGUGAUUACAAACUAGAAGAAUGA